rnacentral:rRNA from 2 species
GACGAACCGUGCGAACGUUGUUCGGAAUCACUGGGCUUAAAGGGCGCGUAGGCGGGCAGGCAAGUCAGGGGUGAAAGCCCCCAGCUCAACUGGGGAAGCGCCUUUGAUACUGCCGGUCUCGAGGGAGGUAGGGGCGUGCGGAACUUCCGGUGGAGCGGUGAAAUGCGUAGAUAUCGGAAGGAACACCGGUGGCGAAAGCGGCGCGCUGGACCUCUUCUGACGCUGAGGCGCGAAAGCCAGGGGAGCAAACGGG